AAGUCUGCACCAUUCGACUGAUCAAACGAUUCGGCUGAUGAGAGAUCGGAUCAGCCGAGUUUGAAACUUUAUACUACAGAAUCGGUUCGGUUGAAUAAGCCGAAUAGGAUAUUGCAGUGUUUUAGGUCGGCUGAUGAGCUGGAUGGCCUUUAUAUAUUGAAACUUAAAGUCGGAAACUCGUACAAAAGAGAGUGUGCUUGUAAGUCAUACAGACUCCAUAAAUCUAACUUAAAUACUACUCCUACAAAAGGCACUAAAUGUAGAAAAAGAAAGAUUACAGAUAGACUACUCCUAGGAAAACAAGAAAAAUGCGUGGAAAUAGAAAGUGGCCUUCUGUUCGCUGGAAAGAGGACCCCUCCUCCAGGCGUUAUUCGCCUAUUUAUACUCCGCGCAUUGUGAUUUGGUUAUGUACACAAUCGGUCAUUUCUCUAAUUUCGCGGGCUACUACAAGUCGAUAUUAAACACUCAAACUGAUUGUGGUUAUGCUGUGAUUUACUUUGUGGUCCCGAUGCACCACGUGUCAGAUUUUAGAAUCCUUGGCAAGCCGAGCGUCAAUUUUCCACGCGAUAUUUUUAUUGGAAUCAACAAUUGCCCUCUCGACAACUUCCGAACAGACGAUUUGGUGGUUGACGUAAUCUCUUUCAAAGGCGCGAAUUUCGAAACCAUUAUUUUGAAUUGCCUUGUACCGUCUUUCUCUCAGCCGUCCUUUCUCCUUUGACAGCUACGAUUUCACAUACAUUCCUUUUGUUUCUUAUGCGGCAUUUAUUAGGUCAUUUAUUGCCGUCGUCUCAUCAUCAUUAAAGCUGUUUUCGAAAUUCCAUCCGACGGUCCUAUUCUUUUGUCUUUUUUGUUUUCUUCUUCCUUACGCUUCCCCUUUUCUUUCUUCUCCCUUCGCUUUUCUUUCUUCUUCCUCUUCGCCUUAGAAGCCCUUUCUCUCUUCUUCUUCUACUUCUUCUUUCGCCUUCUCUAAUGGUUCCACUUCCUUCUCUUUCUUCUUCUCCAUCUUUCGAUUACACUUUACUUAGACAAUAUGUUGGGUCGGAC
rnacentral:lncRNA from 1 species